rnacentral:rRNA from 1 species
GGUAGCGAAAUUCCUUGUCGGGUAAGUUCCGACCCGCACGAAAGGCGUAAUGAUUUGAGCACUGUCUCGACAAUGCAUCCGGUGAAAUUGAAGUACCAGUGAAGAUGCUGGUUACCCGCGCCAGGACGGAAAGACCCCAUGGAGCUUUACUCCAGUUUGAUACUGGGAUUCGGUACUGCAUGUACAGGAUAGGUGGGAGACGAAGAAGGAUGGACGCCAGUCUGUCCGGAGUCGCUGUUGGGAUACCACCCCUGUAGUACUGGGUUUCUAACCAGUUGCCAUGAACUGGCAAUGGGACAAUGUCAGGCGGGGAGUUUGACUGGGGCGGUCGCCUCCGAAAGGGUAUCGGAGGCGCUCAAAGGUUCCCUCAGAAUGGUUGGAAACCAUUUGAAGAGUGCAAAGGCAGAAGGGAGCUUGACUGCGACACCGACGGGUGGAGCAGGUACGAAAGUAGGACUUAGUGAUCCGGUGGUAUAAAGUGGGAUUGCCAUCGCUCAACGGAUAAAAGCUACCCUGGGGAUAACAGGCUUAUCACUCCCAAGAGUUCACAUCGACGGAGUGGUUUGGCACCUCGAUGUCGGCUCAUCGCAUCCUGGGGCUGUAGCAGGUCCCAAGGGUUGGGCUGUUCGCCCAUUAAAGCGGUACGCGAGCUGGGUUCAGAACGUCGUGAGACAGUUCGGUCCCUAUCCGGCGCGGGCGGAGGAUAUUUGAGAGGAGCUGUCCUUAGUACGAGAGGACCGGGAUGGACGGACCACUGGUGUAUCUGCUGUCGACCAACGGCAUGGCAGAGUAGCCAAGUCCGGAAGGGAUAAACGCUGAAGGCAUCUAAGCGUGAAGCCCCCCUCAAGAUGAGAUAUCCCUCCUAUAAGGAGUAAGACCCCUUGAAGACUACAAGGUAGAUAGGGCAGAGGUGGAAGCAUGGCAACAUGUGGAGCUGACUGUUACUAAUAGGUCGAGGGCUUAAUCUG